UCCAAUGCUGUUGUUCAAAAUGCUAACAUCAUCAGAAUGAGAUUUGACUUCAGUGACUCCAGUGGUUGCAAUGUCUUUGAAAAAUUUGGGAGUUUCAAGACAACAUGCGUGCAAGUUAUUAUUUUUAGUUGGUUUAUGAACAAUCAAAAACAUGUCUGGAUGCAAUUCGUGUAUAUAGUGUGUUGGAAAAAGCAGAAGACUGCAUAGAUCACCCUCACGGCAUUAUAGGAAACAUAAAAGUCAAUCAUAUACUAAGAAGAUGCUUGCUGAUAUUUUGGAAUAAUAUCUUAUCUUGAACAAACAUUAGACAAUUUGUAUUAUCACUCGGUAGAUCUUUCAUCAAACGAGACGAUUAGGCCGAUAUCACCUAAAGUUCAUCCCCGCUGUUCAUUUUACACGUUCUACAAAUAUUUGUAUGUUUAUGUAUAUGUUUAUUUCUAACGAUACAGUGUUCAUUACAUCAAUGAAUUCAUUUUACGACAAUACGGCACGAGGAUAUACAAGCUUCAUGAGGGAACACUUUAUUGAGAUUGAAGACGAUGGCUAAACGAAGAAGUGGAUAACUCAUUACAUCUGUUGUUACUAAUACAUAUCUAGAAUUUUGUCCUUGACUUUUUAAGCAGAGACAAUUCGGUGCAGCUCUCAACAAUAAUUUAGAUGAUUGGGCUGAUGAGAGUGUCGAUGAAUGAUGAAUACACCUAGGAAAACUGACUCUGAACAGAGAGAUGACCGAUUAUCUUUGGCGAAAGAUACUGCUAAUGAAAUAUUAUUGAGAUGAACCCUGAUUUACCUAUUCACCUGAAGGAUAAACAUUCACCUGUCCCUUAGAAGAAAUAGAAGGGAAGGGAAAAAAGUGACUAUUUUUUGUUUGAUGAUGUUAAACGUAACGCUACCAGCAGUCCACGUGUCAGUGUGCCAAUACAAUCAUCGAAAGUUAAUUGACAAAAUGCCUUCGGGGAAUGAGAUGACUAUACUACUUCAAAUCGACAAUCAUUCACCCCUAUUGUUCACUAAUCACCGCAGCAGGUGACUGUGUGAUAUUUUGCAUAUCAAACAAUGUAAGCACAAUUGAUUAAUAAUUUUGUCUGAUUUCACCUGACUUUGCAAAUGAUUCAUCUAGCAUUAAUAUCGUCGAUAUAUCGAUUAUAAAUUAGUUUGCAGUUCAAAGAAAUGAAAGCUACUUUAACCUCAUUCUCAAUUAGAUGUCCCCUGGUUAAGUGAGUAUAAAUAUGAGUAUUAAUAAUCACUGCUUCCUAUGGACAUCUGCUGUGAGUCCUUGAGGUCUAUAAAUUUGACCUAGUAA